rnacentral:rRNA from 1 species
GGUUCAGGAUGAACGCUAGCGACAGGCCUAACACAUGCAAGUCGAGGGGCAGCACAAGGAGCAAUCUGAGGUGGCGACCGGCGCACGGGUGAGUAACACGUAUGCAACCUGCCUGUAAGCGGGGAAUAACCCGUUGAAAGACGGACUAAUACCGCAUAAUACUAAAUUACUGCAUGGUAAUUUAUUUAAACAUUUAUGGCUUACAGAUGGGCAUGCGCAUGAUUAGCUAGUUGGAGAGGUAACGGCUCCCCAAGGCAACGAUCAUUAGGGGUUCUGAGAGGAAGGUCCCCCACACUGGUACUGAGACACGGACCAGACUCCUACGGGAGGCAGCAGUGAGGAAUAUUGGUCAAUGGACGAGAGUCCGAACCAGCCAAGUCGCGUGCAGGAAGAAUGUCCUAAUGGAUUGUAAACUGCUUUUGCAGGGGAAUAAAGUGCAUCACGUGUGAUGUUUUGUAUGUACUCUGCGAAUAAGGAUCGGCUAACUCCGUGCCAGCAGCCGC